rnacentral:rRNA from 1 species
UACAGAGGGCUCAAGCGUUGUUCGGAUUCAUUGGGCGUAAAGGGUGUGUAGGUGGCGCCGUAAGUCGGGUGUGAAAUUUCGGAGCUUAACUCCGAAACUGCAUUCGAUACUGCGGUGCUUGAGGACUGGAGAGGAGACUGGAAUUCAUGGUGUAGCAGUGAAAUGCGUAGAGAUCAUGAGGAAGACCAGCGGCGAAGGCGGGUCUCUGGACAGUUCCUGACACUGAGACACGAAGGCCAGGGGAGCAAACGGG